rnacentral:rRNA from 1 species
GACGAACGCUGGCGGCGUGCUUAACACAUGCAAGUCGAACGGAAAGGCCCUGCUUUUGUGGGGUGCUCGAGUGGCGAACGGGUGAGUAACCCGUGAGUAACCUGCCCUUGACUUUGGGAUAACUUCAGGAAACUGGGGCUAAUACCGGAUAGGAGCUCCUGCUGCAUGGUGGGGGUUGGAAAGUUUCGGCGGUUGGGGAUGGACUCGCGGCUUAUCAGCUUGUUGGUGGGGUAGUGGCUUACCAAGGCUUUGACGGGUAGCCGGCCUGAGAGGGUGACCGGCCACGUUGGGACUGAGAUACGGCCCAGACUCCUACGGGAGGCAGCAGUGGGGAGUAUUGCACAAUGGGCGGAAGCCUGAUGCAGCAACGCCGCGUGCGGGAUGACGGCCUUCGGGUUGUAAACCGCUUUCGCCUGUGACGAAGCGUGAGUGACGGUAAUGGGUAAAGAAGCACCGGCUAACUACGUG